CAGGCCUGCCGUUGGCUGCUGCCCCUGCGCCGUCCUUCACCCUUCGCUCAGCAAGCCCUUGGGAUCCUCUUGGCUCCAGGCCUGGCUCGGACCCCAACACCGGUCAACACUGGCAUUGCUCAUCACUACAUAAACACACCAGUGCUGGCCUGAAGCUGAAUGGACCCCAGGAAAACACGUUCCUGAAUCUCAUCCCUUCCUGUGGGUGUGAACCCAUGAGGAGCUUACUUCGGUUAGGCGUGGCCCACCUCACCAGAAUGGGUCUUCAUCCUCUUGGUGAAGUCCUUACAAGAGAACGUAAUUCAUAUUCAAAGAGAUUGAAAGCCACAGAAGAGAGAAGCUGAAAACAAGGAAACCUGGACGAGAAGGGAGAGACCAGCAGACUCAGCCAUAUUCCAUGACAUGUGACAGAGGAGCCAGGAUCACUGGCAGCCAGCUCCAGAACUCGGGUCUUAAGGAAAAAAGCGUCCACCUUG
rnacentral:lncRNA from 1 species